rnacentral:rRNA from 1 species
GAGCAUGUGGUUUAAUUCGAUGCAACGCGAAGAACCUUACCUACUCUUGACAUCCAGAGAACUUAGCAGAGAUGCUUUGGUGCCUUCGGGAACUCUGAGACAGGUGCUGCAUGGCUGUUGUCAGCUCGUGUUGUGAAAUGUUGGGUUAAGUCCCGCAACGAGCGCAACCCUUUUCCUUUGUUCCCAGCGGUUCGGUCGGGAACUCAAAGGAGACUGCCAGUGAUAAACUGGAGGAAGGUGGGGAUGACGUCAAGUCAUCAUGGCCCUUACGCCUAGGGCUACACACGUGCUACAAUGGCGUAUACAAAGGGAAGCGACCUCGCGAGAGCAAGCGGACUUCAUAAACCCCGUCCUAGUCCGGAUUGG